rnacentral:rRNA from 1 species
UACAGAGGGUGCGAGCGUUAAUCGGAAUUACUGGGCGUAAAGCGCUCGUAGGCGGCCGUGUAAGUCGGGCGUGAAAGCCCCCGGCUUAACCGGGGAAUGGCGUCCGAUACUGGAUGGCUUGAGUCCGGGAGAGGGAUGCGGAAUUCCAGGUGUAGCGGUGAAAUGCGUAGAUAUCUGGAGGAACACCGGUGGCGAAGGCGGCAUCCUGGACCGGCACUGACGCUGAGGAGCGAAAGCCAGGGGAGCAAACGGG